AAAACGACUCUCGGCAACGGAUAUCUCGGCUCCCGCAUCGAUGAAGAACGUAGCGAAAUGCGAUACUUGGUGUGAAUUGCAGAAUCCCGUGAACCAUCGAGUCUUUGAACGCAAGUUGCGCCCGAAGCCGUUCGGCCGAGGGCACGCCUGCCUGGGCGUCAC
rnacentral:rRNA from 1 species